rnacentral:precursor_RNA from 1 species
GACAGUAUAUCAUUGGACAGCAGUGGAAUCCCCUACAUCUGCUGUCCAAUGCUAUACUGAUCG